AAAGAACAGAGCUGCAACACGUCUUCAAUAAACAGCUUUCGUCUACAAUAAACAUGGGCAUUAAAAUUUGUAGAUCGAUGAAAAGCAAUUUACAGUAAAAUUUUGACUGGUUAUUUGCUAAUGUAGCUAGCAUACAUACCUUCAUUCAUUGUGACAUUCCUUAAUACAUCUCAUGACAGGACCCGCCCCGAAAUUUCCCGAAGACUGAAGCGGACUCCGUUUUUGAUCCGACAUUAUCCCGAUGCCGGGCCAACCUACUAAGUAAUCGAGACUUUCUACCAAAAAUUUAGC
rnacentral:lncRNA from 1 species